UACCAGACUCCUACGGGAGGCAGCAGUGGGGAAUAUUGCACAAUGGGGGAAACCCUGAUGCAGCGACGCCGCGUGAGCGAUGAAGUAUUUCGGUAUGUAAAGCUCUAUCAGCAGGGAAGAAAAUGACGGUACCUGACUAAGAAGCCCCGGCUAACUACGUGCCAGCAGCCGCGGUAAUACGUAGGGGGCAAGCGUUAUCCGGAUUUACUGGGUGUAAAGGGGGCGCAGACGGCGAUGCAAGCCAGGAGUGAAAGCCCGGGGCCCAACCCCGGGACUGCUCUUGGAACUGCGUGGCUGGAGUGCAGGAGGGGCAGGCGGAAUUCCUGGUGUAGCGGUGAAAUGCGUAGAUAUCAGGAGGAACACCGGUGGCGAAGGCGGCCUGCUGGACUGCAACUGACGUUGAGGCCCGAAAGCGUGGGGAGCAAACAGGAUUAGAUACCCCGGUAUG
rnacentral:rRNA from 1 species